rnacentral:rRNA from 1 species
GACGAACGCUGGCGGCGUGCUUAACACAUGCAAGUCGAACGGUAAGGCCCCAGCUUGCUGGGGUACACGAGUGGCGAACGGGUGAGUAACACGUGGGUGACCUGCCCCGCACUUCGGGAUAAGCCUGGGAAACUGGGUCUAAUACCGGAUAGGACCGCACCGUGAGGGUGUGGUGGAAAGUUUUUCGGUGUGGGAUGGGCCCGCGGCCUAUCAGCUUGUUGGUGGGGUAAUGGCCUACCAAGGCGGCGACGGGUAGCCGGCCUGAGAGGGUGGACGGCCACAUUGGGACUGAGACACGGCCCAGACUCCUACGGGAGGCAGCAGUGGGGAAUAUUGCACAAUGGGCGGAAGCCUGAUGCAGCGACGCCGCGUGGGGGAUGACGGCCUUCGGGUUGUAAACUCCUUUCACCAUCGACGAAGGUUUUCUGACGGUAGAUGGAGAAGAAGCACCGGCUAACUACGUGC